GUCACCGUUGUUUAAAUGGUUCAGAUUCAACCUGUGUCUAGUCAGGUCACCGUUGUUUAAAUGGUUCAGAUUCAACCUGUGUCUAGUCAGGUCACCGUUGUUUAAAUGGUUCUGAUUCAACCUGUGUCUAGUCAGGUCACCGUUGUUUAUAUGGUUCAGAUUCAACCUGUGUCUAGUCAGGUCACCGUUGUUUAAAUGGUUCAGAUUCAACCUGUGUCUAGUCAGGUCACCGUUGUUUAAAUGGUUCAUAUUCAACCUGUGUCUAGUCAGGUCACCG